rnacentral:rRNA from 1 species
AUGAACGCUAGCGGCAGGCUUAACACAUGCAAGUCGAGGGGCAGCAUAAUGGAUAGCAAUAUCUAUGGUGGCGACCGGCGCACGGGUGCGUAACGCGUAUGCAACCUACCUUUAACAGGGGGAUAACACUGAGAAAUUGGUACUAAUACCCCAUAAUAUCAUAGAAGGCAUCUUUUAUGGUUGAAAAUUCCGAUGGUUAGAGAUGGGCAUGCGUUGUAUUAGCUAGUUGGUGGGGUAACGGCUCACCAAGGCGACGAUACAUAGGGGGACUGAGAGGUUAACCCCCCACACUGGUACUGAGACACGGACCAGACUCCUACGGGAGGCAGCAGUGAGGAAUAUUGGUCAAUGGACGCAAGUCUGAACCAGCCAUGCCGCGUGCAGGAUGACGGCUCUAUGAGUUGUAAACUGCUUUUGUACGAGGGUAAACGCAGAUACGUGUAUCUGUCUGAAAGUAUCGUACGAAUAAGGAUCGGCUAACUCCGUGCCAGCAGCCGCGGUAAUACGGAGGAUUCAAGCGUUAUCCGGAUUUAUUGGGUUUAAAGGGUGCGUAGGCGGUUUGAUAAGUUAGAGGUGAAAUUUCGGGGCUCAACCCUGAACGUGCCUCUAAUACUGUUGAGCUAGAGAGUAGUUGCGGUAGGCGGAAUGUAUGGUGUAGCGGUGAAAUGCUUAGAGAUCAUACAGAACACCGAUUGCGAAGGCAGCUUACCAAACUAUAUCUGACGUUGAGGCACGAAAGCGUGGGGAGCAAACAGGAUUAGAUACCCUGGUAGUCCACGCAGUAAACGAUGAUCACCCGUUGUCUGCGCUACACAGUCGGUGACUUAGCGAAAGCGAUAAGUUAUCCACCUGGGGAGUACGUUCGCAAGAAUGAAACUCAAAGGAAUUGACGGGGGCCCGCACAAGCGGAGGAACAUGUGGUUUAAUUCGAUGAUACGCGAGGAACCUUACCCGGGCUUGAAUUGCAACUGAAUGAUGUGGAGACAUGUCAGCCGCAAGGCAGUUGUGAAGGUGCUGCAUGGUUGUCGUCAGCUCGUGCCGUGAGGUGUCGGGUUAAGUCCCAUAACGAGCGCAACCCCUACCGUUAGUUGCCAUCAGGUGAAGCUGGGCACUCUGGCGGGACUGCCGGUGUAAGCCGAGAGGAAGGUGGGGAUGACGUCAAAUCAGCACGGCCCUUACGUCCGGGGCUACACACGUGUUACAAUGGUAGGUACAGAGGGCAGCUACCCAGCGAUGGGAUGCGAAUCUCGAAAGCCUAUCUCAGUUCGGAUUGGAGGCUGAAACCCGCCUCCAUGAAGUUGGAUUCGCUAGUAAUCGCGCAUCAGCCAUGGCGCGGUGAAUACGUUCCCGGGCCUUGUACACACCGCCCGUCAAGCCAUGGGAGCCGGGGGUGCCUGAAGUUCGUGACCGCAAGGAGCGACCUAGGGCAAAACUGGUGACUGGGGCU